GUGUGUGUGUUGUGUGUGUUGUAUGUGUGUGAUGGGGAGGGGAGUGGGCUGAGAAGGCAGGAAGGCAGAGUGCCUGCUGGAGUAUGGACACUAUGGCUCAGGGGUGAGGUGGGGGCAGCACGGGAGCAGAUGAAGGGAUGGGUCUGGGGCUGUGGCACAGCACCACUGCCCUGAGCCUUACUUGUAUCAGAGAGUCUCAGAGCAGCCCAGGGACAGGGUCAUUUGCCUCAUUUUAUAUGAGAAGACUGAGACUUCUGUUCCCUCCUGGUCAAAUCCAACCAAGUCCUGCCAACACCACCCUCAUUAUCUCUCGGUCCACCUAUUUCGUCCAGGUAGCCUUCCCUGACCCCCAGACGGGGUUAGGGGCCCCGCCAUGUGCCCACCCCCAACUCUCCCUUAUCACAGUGCCAGAGCAUCAACUCUGCUAGGACAGAAGUGCCACGGGGCAGGGAUUUUCAUGGGUUUUAUUUUCCAUCAUCUCCCCUCUGCCCAGAGCAAUGCUUGACAAGCAGUUGGUACUUCAUAUUUUGGGAAUGAAUAACUCCUGCAGUAUUUCAUCAUAAUCGUUUGUCUAUUUGCCCUUAGGCUGUACUCUCCUUAAAGGCAGGACCUCUUUUGAUUCAUCAUUUUGACCCCAGCACCCAGCAAAGAGAUUUGUGCACAGCUAGAUCUGGGGAAGGAGAUUACCUGCAGAAUCAUAGAGAAAUAUAUUUGAAGUCAGACAAUAAAGCCUCUGUUUGACCUUGAGCCAGACCUGUCAUUUCCAGCUUCAUUCAGCUUUCUCCCCUGUAAAAUGGCAAUAGUAAUGAUUUAUUGCUUACUUCACAAGGAUGCUGAAAAGAGAAAAUAAAGCCAUGAAUAUAUUGGUGA